CUCGCAGCAGCACGAGGAGGCUUGGUUGCCACCAUUAUCAGAUUUGGAGAAGCGAACGCAAGGCAAUUUUUCUUUUUGUCUUCAUGGGUACCCUUGUCUCGGCGACAGCAUGCUCAAGUUGCGCAUGGUCGACCCGUUGCGCCUCCGCAGUCCGGCAGCGUCAUUCACGAACAAAAUUGUACACGAGGGGUGCCAAACUGAUUCGUGUCCGCGUGCCACACUCAGCCAUGGAGGAACUACGCGAGCCGCAUUCGACUGCUUUGGGUUAGCCUGCUUCUGAUAAAGAAGUUCGAAUUCACUCGGGAGAUCACCAAGCCUAACGUUCUGUUUCUGGU